rnacentral:misc_RNA from 1 species
UUAAGUUCAGCGGGUAUCCCUACCUGAUCCGAGGUCAACCUUGGUAAAAAGGGGGUGUCCCCCCCGAGGGGGGAACGGGUGACCGGGUCUGGACUUCUAGCCUAGUACGUGCCCGAAAGCUCAGUGUACAGGAGUCCUCACAGACGCCGUCAUUAUCUUUGAGAAGAGCAGGGGCCGGGGGCCCGCGCUGCAACCAACAACAAGCCGGGCUUGAGGGGUGAUAAUGACGCUCGAACAGGCAUGCCCCAUGGAAUACCAAGGGGCGCAAUGUGCGUUCAAAGAUUCGAUGAUUCACUGAAUUCUGCAAUUCACAUUACUUAUCGCAUUUCGCUGCGUUCUUCAUCGAUGCCAGAACCAAGAGAUCCGUUGUUGAAAGUUUUGUUUUGAUUUUAAUCAAGACUCCGACGCAAAUUGACGCAGUGUUUGAUGGUCUCCGGGGCCGCCGGCGCCGCGGACGGCAGGGUCGCCCCCGAAGCAACGAGGUAUGGUUCACAAAGGGUUGGAGGUCGGGCCCGGGGGCCCUCACUCGGUAAUGAUCCCU